UGGACACGGUGUCCGUUCUGGGAACUGAAACAUCUUAGUAGCCAGAGGAAAAGAAAGCAAAAGCGAUUCCCGUAGUAGCGGCGAGCGAAAUGGGAGCAGCCUAAACCGUGAAAACGGGGUCAAAUCUACUUUGAUUCUCUAGGACCCAAUAAUAUGGGACUGUUAAGAUGGUUAAAGCAAACCGUUUGAAGUCUAGAUGCGGCAUGGUACUCUUUCUACCACUAUGUUAAUAUAGUGAUGGUUUUCAAAUGAAUAUUUUAUCGAUAUAGAACACUCAUCUCGAUAAAAUGAUUUGAACCACUUAUUCGAAAAUGGGCCAUAAGUACUUUUAAAAAAUGUAGCGAC
rnacentral:lncRNA from 1 species